CAAUAGCGUAUAUUAAAGCUGUUGCGGUUAAAAAGCUCGUAGUUGGAUUUCUGUCAAGGACAACUGGUCCGCCCUCCGGGUGAGCACAUAGUUUGGUCUUGACAUCUUGCUGGAAGCUGUUGCUGCACUUGGCUGUGUGGCGCAGUGUUCAGCACUUUCACUUUGAGGAAAUUGGAGUGUUUCAAGCAGGCACAUGCCUUUGGACACAGUAGCAUGGAAUAAUUAGAUUGGGCUUUUGCUCCAAUUUGUCGGUUUCUGGAGCUGAGGUGAGUAUUAAUGGGGAUUGUUGGGGGCAUCCGAAUUUAGCCGUCAGAGGUGAAAUUCUUGGAUCUGCUAAAGACGGACAACUGCGAAAGCGUUUGCCCAGGAGGUUUNCAUUG
rnacentral:rRNA from 1 species